AUUGAACGCUGGCGGCAUGCCUUACACAUGCAAGUCGAACGGCAGCGCGGGCUUCGGCCUGGCGGCGAGUGGCGGACGGGUGAGUAAUGCAUCGGAACGUGCCCAGGAGUGGGGGAUAACGUAGCGAAAGUUACGCUAAUACCGCAUACGUACUGAGGUAGAAAGCGGGGGAACGAAAGACCCCGCGCUCAUGGAGCGGCCGGGGUCGGAUUAGGUAGUGGGCGGGGUAAAAGCCCACCAAGGGGACGAUCCGCAGCAGGUCUGAGAGGACGACCAGCAACAGGGGGACUGAGACACGGCCCAGACUCCUACGGGAGGCAGCAGCGGGGAAUCUUGGACAAUGGGGGAAACCCUGAUACAGCAAUGCCGCGUGUGGGAUGAAGGCCCUCGGGUUGGAAACCACUUUUGGCAGGAAAGAAAUCGCCUGUGCUAAUACCACGGGCGGAUGACGGUACCUGCAGAAUAAGCACCGGCUAACUACGUGCCAGCAGCCGCCGUAA
rnacentral:rRNA from 1 species